AUGAACCUAUCCACACAGCCACGGGGCCAGCCCCCUAGAACAGUACCUUUUGAAUAAAUGUUAUUGAAUACAGCAAUAAAUAACUGAAAAAUUUGUUGAAUGUGUGACAGUUAAACUUUCAUACUUUCUACUGGUAUAUCUAUGGAGCUACUAAUCAAUUAAAUUUGAAGUUGCGAAAAAUUGAUGGAAGGAAAGCUACUGUAAACAUCAGGAUGGGUGAAGUCUUUUCUAUUUUAAAGGCAGUUAACAGUAUCAAACAUUACACCAAGUCUGAGAGUGACACAAUUUCAUAAUUGUAUUGAUCAACAUAUAUUCUUAAAUUUAAUAUUUAUAUAUAUAUACUGUGUAUUUAUUAAAAAUAUAGAGACACCACUAUGUAACUGAUAAGGAAUGAGUUCCAAGAUCUUGAAAAAGAAAAUCAAGUCACAGUAUAGUGACUAGAACAUAAUGCCAUUUGUAUAUAAAAAGAAUAUAUACCCAAUUCUAGAUUCUUCCACCUAUUUUAUAGUGUAGGAAACUAAGUUUUGGAGGGAUUAUGUAAUUUGUCAAAGGUCACAUAUCUGUCCGUCUGUCUAUCUGAAGGUAUUCAUAAUAAGUUAGUGAGACGGGGCCUUCCUGGAGAAGGGACUGGAGAAGUGGAAGGUUAAGGACAGGAAUGAAAGAGACUUCUUAUUUUAUUACUUUUCAUACUUUUUAAUUUGUGUCAUACACAUACAAUGUCUAUUCUACUAAACACAUAAGUAAUUUUUAAAAACUGCUGCUGUAUUUAAAUAGGUUUAUUAUGAUGUGGCAUAGUUUUCUACAAUUGUACUUACUUUUUAAAAUUUUCACUUCCAAUAUUGUCGAGUUAUCCUGUUUGUAUUUUUUUUGAGACUCUCCAAGGGUUUAAGCAAGAAAAUUUUUAGAGUGCUACUUGUAUACUAAUAAUCUUGUUACAAAGUCCAUGUGCAUAUGAAUAAUACAAAUGUAUUUUUAGAAUAAGUGAGGUUGCCUUCGUUCCUGGAAUUGAAUGAAACAUGAGCCUUGACACUAGUAUGUUUGACAAUACAUCUCAGUGAAAGUUUGCCUUCUCAAUUUGAGAUUUUUGAAGGUUGUAAUUAUAAUUUUACGAGGUCCUAAAGGCCUUUUUCCCCUAAAUUUCUUAGACCAAGUGAGUAAGAUAAUUUCCAGAAAUGUCACAAAAAUGCUGUCCCUAUAGUUCACGUUUUAAAAUUACGUUAUGAUUGAAUGUCAUUAGCUACAAGCAAUGAAAAUAACGAUAAAGACAUGAUCCUUAGUGUGAUGUGUGCAGUAUAGUUUUUAAAGAAUACCUCAUGCUGUGUUUUAAUGGGAGUGAAUCUUAACUUGUUUGCUAUGCAUGAAUAUGCUUUCCCAACAAAAAUGUUCCUUUGCUUAUAAAAAUGUUUUUCUCAAGAGUAGUAAAUUUGGAAAUCUAUUUAUGUCCUUCUGCCUACGCAUAUGGCUACCUUGUUCAAAAGAGAUAAAUUCCUGCUGUACUCCAAAAUUGUAAACGUAUUUUGAAAAGUUCUGGAAUGCAUUGAUAAGGAGAAGUACUUGUAAAUAAAUUAUAUAGUCAAUUAUGUAAGGGUUAAUGUUACUUUGAAUGUAACUGGUGUUAAAGAAAAAAAUAUUCUGACACUAGUUAAAACAAAAAGGAAGACUUUAUUCAGGACUAUUGUGAUAGGUAAUCAAGACUAUGGAAAUUGAGGAGAGAGAUGGGGCUUAACUCUGAACACAGUAAACACUGUGAUUUAUAGCCAAGGAGCAGAGGCAGUGGUGGGGAGCGCGGUCAGUGGUCAGUGGAUAGAAAAUUGCUAACAGGAGACUUCAAGAGUAGGGGGAUUCUUACUGAACCAACAUAAUAGAAUUCUUGUUGAAGGCAGGCUAGGGUGAUCUGAUAUUGAGAGAAGGGGAUAAGGAAUUUGAUCAGAUAUCAAGGAUGGGGGGGUAUUCUCACUAAAGUGACUUAGUAAGAUUCUUGCCACAGCUGGGCUAUGCAGGCUCAGCAAGGACAGAAGCCAAAUGAUGAGGCCCAGACAAAAAGAGGGUUCAGAGGAGGCUGUCUAAAGUUUGGUGAUGGGGAGAGUCUUUGUCACCAGCCAGAAUAUGGCAGAUGCAACUGCAAUCAAUAGAAUGUGAGGCAUCCCCAGGCUCUAUUAGCUUCUAGGGCCAUCUGGCCUGGCAGACAUUUUGAGCAUUAACAUUGACUCCCUGCUGCUUUCUUGAGUGGGCUGAGCUUCUUUCAGUAUGCCACGUGCUGACCAUAAGGGGACACCUGACCUUCAGGAAAAUAGGGCAAAGGUCUGCAAGAAGAAACCACUAGAUGUGCCAGCUAAGAGUAAGCAGCAGCUGAGGUUGGGAGCGAGGUUGGUCGGUCCCUGUACAGGUGCUGCACCAUCGGGCUUGCGGACAUUGCAGUUAGCUUGCUGAAGAAAGCAAAUACAUGAAAGGUCUGUAAGUUAAAUCAUGUUGGUGUGCCAUUUCUCUUGAUAUUAUCUACUUUUCACCACCUCUACUCUUGUCUUUGUUUUGAGUUUGCAGUAUAAUUACUCAGAAUAAAAGAGAUAUGACCUCUUGAUGACCUUUCUGAAAAUUACUUGCUUAUAGGUUAGUUUUGCCACCUUUGCAGAUAUUCCUGGGUGAGAACUUUCCAUUUAUCAAUAAUAGUUCUGAAAAUGUCCUUAACACAGUUAUAACCGUAGCUCUACUAAGGUCACAGCAUGGGGACACCGUGACAUUAAGGAGUAGAGGAUUGUCAUCAACAUCUUCUUAAUUCUGGCCUAACGACAGGAUGAUUAUCUUGGAAGUCCUUGAAUGCUUGAGGAAUGGCCAAGACGUAGGUUCUAGACACUUGGACCAGGUUGUAUCUGUGCAGUGGGGAGGUGAGGGGAAAAUUAGGAGAACGAUGCAAGAAAACUCUGGACUACCGAAAUUUAUCCAAGAAACAUUAUAUGGCAACUGAAUUUUUCUGUUCACCUCUUAAGUCCUAAGAAAUGAAGCCCUCCUUGUUUUGUGUUCCCUCAUCACAAAUGUCUGUCUCUCUUCUUCCUCCUUGUCUUCCAAGAGCUCCCUUCUCUGUCUUUCCCUGAGUGAUUCCCGAAGUUCUCAGUGAUGACGGUCCUGAGCUGUGCUGGAGAACAUGGAGAAGUGGGUGGUGCAGCCAGGCCUGGGAGGGGUCUUGCGUCAGACCACAUCUGGGUAAGAUCCACAGCUGCCUCAGCACCACAGCCAGCGUUGUCUAAGGACGGAAAGACCAUAUUGCAGUGAGAACUGUUACCAAAUUGUAAUUGCUACUCUGCAAUCUUGAGAACUGAGAAAUUGUAAAAUUUGAAAAUAAAAGAGAUACUCUUCUUUUUCUACUGAACAUGUCAUCCACUUAACUCAGCUGAGCACGGAGGGAGAAAGCACUGUCAAAACAAAAUUCCUGCUUUCAUUGUGAAGACUUAUCCUUUAAAGAAAAUCGCUCUUCAGAAUCUGACCUUGCUAUCCAAUUUAAGGUGUAUGCUCCUCUCAAGAAAAAAACGUCAGAUGCACGAGGAGCAAUGAUAUUAUUAUAAGACUUAUGGAGACCCACAUGUCCCCUACUUCACCCCACUUGAA